rnacentral:lncRNA from 10 species
GGGGACUCGGGCCGGGUGCCUUGGUGAUUAAUACAAUUAGCCUUUUAUGUUGAUGAUUGUCUUAGCAGGAGCAGAUGAUGCUGUGCUGGGAGCCUGGGCGGUCGCGUCCCGAUUGGCUGGCAGGAAGCCCCUCUCCGCUUCCCACCCCCACUUUUCAUCUUCGAUCUACUACCUCCAGACAACAGGCAUAGGACAACUCUACAACUCCAGUUUGGACAAAGAGAGACUGGAUGAGAAAUGAAGAAACAAACUCCCGGUGGUGGUAAGCCUGGGGUGGGUCCAGAGAGUGGGAAAUGGGGAUGAACAACAGAGUCAAGACACUUUGAAGGAAGUAAUUUUUUCUUUUUUUUUUUUUGUGACAGGGUCUCACACUCUGUCACCCAGGCUGGAGUGCAGUGGCACGAUCUCAGCUCACUGCAACCUCUGCCUCCCAGGCUCAAUUUUCCCACAUUAGCUUCCCAAGUAGCUGGGACCACAGGUGUGCACCACCACGCCCAGUUAAUUUUGUAUUUUUUGUAGAGACAGAGUUUGGCCAUAUCUCAAACUCUUGACCUCAGGUGAUCCACCUAUCUUGGCCUCCCAAAGUGCUGGGAUUAGAGGCAUAAGCCACCAAGCCCAGCCCCAGAAAUGAUUUUCUAAAAGGCAUUGAAAAUUACCUUGCAAGACAAGAAAACCAGCCUCAUGUUCAUUUUGAAAAAGCUAUUUACUUUUUUU